UGGAGAUGUUGCUCAGUGGUAGAGCACUUGCCUAGCAUGCAUAAGGCCCUGGGUUUCAUCCCCAGCACUACAA
rnacentral:tRNA from 1 species